rnacentral:rRNA from 1 species
ACGCUGGCGGCGUGCCUAAUACAUGCAAGUAGAACGCUGAAGAGAGGAGCUUGCUCUUCUUGGAUGAGUUGCGAACGGGUGAGUAACGCGUAGGUAACCUGCCUUGUAGCGGGGGAUAACUAUUGGAAACGAUAGCUAAUACCGCAUAACAAUAGGUGACACAUGUCAUUUAUUUGAAAGGGGCAAUUGCUCCACUACAAGGUGGACCUGCGUUGUAUUAGCUAGUAGGUGAGGUAACGGCUCACCUAGGCGACGAUACAUAGCCGACCUGAGAGGGUGAUCGGCCACACUGGGACUGAGACACGGCCCAGACUCCUACGGGAGGCAGCAGUAGGGAAUCUUCGGCAAUGGGGGCAACCCUGACCGAGCAACGCCGCGUGAGUGAAGAAGGUUUUCGGAUCGUAAAGCUCUGUUGUAAGUCAAGAACGAGUGUGAGAGUGGAAAGUUCACACUGUGACGGUAGCUUACCAGAAAGGGACGGCUAACUACGUGCCAGCAGCCGCGGUAAUACGUAGGUCCCGAGCGUUGUCCGGAUUUAUUGGGCGUAAAGCGAGCGCAGGCGGUUUGAUAAGUCUGAAGUUAAAGGCUGUGGCUCAACCAUAGUUCGCUUUGGAAACUGUCAAACUUGAGUGCAGAAGGGGAGAGUGGAAUUCCAUGUGUAGCGGUGAAAUGCGUAGAUAUGUGGAGGAACACCGGUGGCGAAAGCGGCUCUCUGGUCUGUAACUGACGCUGAGGCUCGAAAGCGUGGGGAGCGAACAGGAUUAGAUACCCUGGUAGUCCACGCCGUAAACGAUGAGUGCUAGGUGUUGGAUCCUUUCCGGGAUUCAGUGCCGCAGCUAACGCAUUAAGCACUCCGCCUGGGGAGUACGACCGCAAGGUUGAAACUCAAAGGAAUUGACGGGGGCCCGCA